UAGAGAUUACUAGGAGGUCACCAUCCCUCUUCCUUAGCUUUUGAGGUCUAGACUGUUGUCUGUUUCCUUUUGUGUGUAUCUGGUGUUUUCCCCUUCCCAAUUACCCGUGACACUGUGUCAGCAGAGGACCUGGA